rnacentral:rRNA from 1 species
UGGGGAUGACGUCAAGUCAUCAUGGCCCUUACGGCCUGGGCUACACACGUGCUACAAUAGGUCGGUACAAAGGGUUGCCAAGCCGCGAGGUGGAGCUAAUCCCAUAAACCGAUCGUAGUCCGGAUCGCAGUCUGCAACUCGACUGCGUGAAGUCGGAAUCGCUAGUAAUCGUGAAUCAGAAUGUCACGGUGAAUACGUUCCCGGGCCUU